rnacentral:rRNA from 1 species
CACGUAGGGUGCGAGCGUUGUCCGGAAUUAUUGGGCGUAAAGGGCUCGUAGGCGGUUUGUCGCGUCGGGAGUGAAAACCCAGGGCUUAACUCUGGGCUUGCUUUCGAUACGGGCAGACUAGAGGUAUGCAGGGGAGAACGGAAUUCCUGGUGUAGCGGUGAAAUGCGCAGAUAUCAGGAGGAACACCGGUGGCGAAGGCGGUUCUCUGGGCAUUACCUGACGCUGAGGAGCGAAAGUGUGGGGAGCGAACAGG